rnacentral:rRNA from 1 species
GGACUACACGGGUUUCUAAUCCUGUUUGCUCCCCACACUUUCGAGUUUCAGUGUCAGUCAUGGUCCAGUAAGCCGUCUACACCGCAGGUGUUCCUCCUGAUAUCUACGCAUUUCACCGCUACACCAGGAAUUCCGCCUACCUCUCCCAUACUCUAGCACUACAGUCUUCGGCGCACCCUCCCAGUUGAGCCGGGAGAUUUCACACCAAACUUAUAGCACCACCUACACUCGCUUUACGCCCAGUAAUUCCGAACAACGCUUGCUGCCUACGUAUUACCGCGGCGGCUGGCAC